CUAAUAUACUGAGUUUGCACUCACUCGGAUCAACUUCUCUUGCCUCCACAGUCUCUUACCUACCCCAUGUAUUCUAUUAAAGGAAGUUUGAAUAUUCAUCAUUCUCUGAAUGUAAACAAAUGUUCAUUUAAAUUUUUUGAGCAAUGUGUAUAAUUUUUUCCAAUUGUAAUAUUGUUUGAGAAAUAAUUGUUCCAAUGAAUGAAUAAAUAAAUGUUAUCCCAAUUAUAUCUACCAUUUCCUGGAAGAAGUUUGAGAUAGUGGAUAAUCGAUAGGUUCGAAUCUAUGGAAUCGGUUAUUUCAUGAGGUCUAGCGGUUAAUCAUAUCGAUCCGAUUAUUCGAAAUCGAAUGUUAGCCAGUUCAGUUUGAACCUUCAUCAGAAUUGAACCGCAUCGAUCUUGUGUUUAUCUUGUGCCGGUAUGAAAAACAUGAGUAGGCAAAUCUUCAUCGUUUAUAUCCUAUCCUUUCUCCUUUUAGUCAGUCUCAGUAAACAGUGCGAAACUAUCAAAUUCUUGGACGAGAAAGAAGUGUAUAGGAACUGUUGUCGUAUUGCGAAAUCUGAAGAAGAUUCUAUGAGGAAAGACGCGUUCAAGCGAGUAAUCAACUUAGAUGGUCAGUUUUAUGCCUGUAUGAAAAUGGUCCAAGUUCCCACUUUCGGAGUACACAAUGCUAUAGAUACUAUUGCACGUUGUCCAGAUCAUGAGAUCUUCGACUUUUUGGGUGGCGAAUGCGUUGAAUCAUUUUAAUGCAUUUGUCUGAAAGAACCAUAGAGGACAAAACAGAGCCGUUCUUGGGCACGGAAGAAAGUUUCUAAGAAAAAAAAAUCUUUCUCUAAUGGAAGCCAAGGCUCGAAGCAGGCCCCUACAGGUUGCUUCACAAGGUGCAUUACCAUUAACUAAUUCUUCAUUCGUUGAUAGAUUUACUCUUUAUUCGUCUGAAAAUUCUUUCUUGGAGAAAUAUAUUAGAAGAGAUUUUAAUUAAGAAUUCAGUCUAAUUUCUGAACCUGCUGAUUGUUUGUCAAUAAUUCGCAAUAAUUAUUGUUUCUUUUAUAUUAUAUUUAUUUGUAAUAUAGGUUGCUAGUAUAUUAUUUGUUAAUAAAUAUACGAAUAAACGAAUUAAAGCUUA